CAACAGGGAUUGCCCCAGUAACGGCGAGUGAAGCGGCAGAAGCUCAAAUUUGAAAUCUGGGGUCGCCGACCCCCGAGUUGUAAUUUCGAGAGGCGACUUCCGGGGGGGGUCCCGGCACGUUUUCCUUGGAACAGGACGUCAGAGAGGGUGAGAAUCCCGUUCACUUCCGCCCGCNCCCCCCCCCUCUGUGAAGCGCCUUCGACGAGUCGAGUUGUUUGGGAAUGCAGCUCCAAGUGGGUGGUAAAUUUCAUCUAAGGCUAAAUACUGGCGGGAGACCGAUAGCGCACAAGUAGAGUGAUCGAAAGAUGAAAAGCACUUUGAAAAUAGAGUUAAAAAGUACGUGAAAUUGUUGAAAGGGAAGCGCUUGAGACCAGACUCAGGGCGGGGCAAACAGCCUUGCCCCCAACCGGGCGGCGCACUUGCCCCGACCCUGGGCCAGCAUCAGUUGUGGUGGUGGGACAAAGGCGCCGGGAAUGUGCCUCCCCCUCGGGGGAGCGUUAUAGCCCGACGUCGGAUGCCGCCGACCACGACUGAGGACCGCGCUUCGGCAAGGAUGUUGGCUUAAU
rnacentral:rRNA from 1 species